GUAGCUGUGGCCGAGAGGUUAAAGCGAUGGGCUCGAAACCCUUUCGUGUCUUUCUAUACAGGUUUGAAUCCUGUCAGCUACG
rnacentral:tRNA from 1 species